UGCGCAGGCGGACUUUUAAGUCAGUGGUGAAAUCCCGAGGCUCAACCUCGGAACUGCCAUUGAUACUGGAAGUCUUGAAUUUGGUUGAAGUGGGCGGAAUGUAGCAUGUAGCGGUGAAAUGCUUAGAUAUGCUACAGAACACCGAUCGCGAAGGCAGCUCACUAAGCCAAUAUUGACGCUCAGGCACGAAGGCGUGGGGAGCAAACAGGAUUAGAUACCCUGGUAGUCC
rnacentral:rRNA from 1 species